GAUGAACGCUGGCGGCGUGCCUAAUACAUGCAAGUCGAGCGAACAGACGAGGAGCUUGCUCCUCUGACGUUAGCGGCGGACGGGUGAGUAACACGUGGAUAACCUACCUAUAAGACUGGGAUAACUUCGGGAAACCGGAGCUAAUACCGGAUAAUAUAUUGAACCGCAUGGUUCAAUAGUGAAAGACGGUUUUGCUGUCACUUAUAGAUGGAUCCGCGCCGCAUUAGCUAGUUGGUAAGGUAACGGCUUACCAAGGCGACGAUGCGUAGCCGACCUGAGAGGGUGAGAGGCCACACUGGAACUGAGACACGGUCCAGAGUCCUACGGGAGGCAGCAGUAGGGAAUCUUCCGGAAUGGGCGAAAGCCUGAAGGAGCAACGCCGCGUGAGUGAUGAAGGUAUUCGGAUCGUAAAACUCUGUUAUUAGGGAAGAACAAAUGUGUAAGGAACUAUGCACGUCUUGACGGUACCUAAUCAGAAAGCCACGGCUAACUACGUG
rnacentral:rRNA from 1 species